rnacentral:rRNA from 1 species
UGCAAGUAGAACGCUGAAGAGAGGAGCUUGCUCUUCUUGGAUGAGUUGCGAACGGGUGAGUAACGCGUAGGUAACCUGCCUUGUAGCGGGGGAUAACUAUUGGAAACGAUAGCUAAUACCGCAUAACAAUGGAUGACACAUGUCAUUUAUUUGAAAGGGGCAAUUGCUCCACUACAAGAUGGACCUGCGUUGUAUUAGCUAGUAGGUGAGGUAAUGGCUCACCUAGGCGACGAUACAUAGCCGACCUGAGAGGGUGAUCGGCCACACUGGGACUGAGACACGGCCCAGACUCCUACGGGAGGCAGCAGUAGGGAAUCUUCGGCAAUGGGGGCAACCCUGACCGAGCAACGCCGCGUGAGUGAAGAAGGUUUUCGGAUCGUAAAGCUCUGUUGUAAGUCAAGAACGGGUGUGAGAGUGGAAAGUUCACACUGUGACGGUAGCUUACCAGAAAGGGACGGCUAACUACGUGCCAGCAGCCGCGGUAAUACGUAGGUCCCGAGCGUUGUCCGGAUUUAUUGGGCGUAAAGCGAGCGCAGGCGGUUUGAUAAGUCUGAAGUUAAAGGCUGUGGCUCAACCAUAGUUCGCUUUGGAAACUGUCAAACUUGAGUGCAGAAGGGGAGAGUGGAAUUCCAUGUGUAGCGGUGAAAUGCGUAGAUAUAUGGAGGAACACCGGUGGCGAAAGCGGCUCUCUGGUCUGUAACUGACGCUGAGGCUCGAAAGCGUGGGGAGCGAACAGGAUUAGAUACCCUGGUAGUCCACGCCGUAAACGAUGAGUGCUAGGUGUUGGAUCCUUUCCGGGAUUCAGUGCCGAAGCUAACGCAUUAAGCACUCCGCCUGGGGAGUACGACCGCAAGGUUGAAACUCAAAGGAAUUGACGGGGGCCCGCACAAGCGGUGGAGCAUGUGGUUUAAUUCGAAGCAACGCGAAGAACCUUACCAGGUCUUGACAUCCCGAUGCUAUU